UACGAAGGGGGCUAGCGUUGUUCGGAAUCACUGGGCGUAAAGGGCGCGUAGGCGGCUUUAUAAGUCGGGGGUGAAAGCCUGUGGCUCAACCACAGAAUUGCCUUCGAUACUGUAGAGCUUGAGACCGGAAGAGGUAAGUGGAACUGCGAGUGUAGACGUGAAAUUCGUAGAUAUUCGCAAGAACACCAGUGGCGAAGGCGGCUUACUGGUCCGGUUCUGACGCUGAGGCGCGAAAGCGUGGGGAGCAAACAGG
rnacentral:rRNA from 1 species